rnacentral:rRNA from 1 species
GAUGAACGCUUGCGGCAGGCUUAAUACAUGCAAGUCGAACGGUAACAGGGUCUUCGGACUGCUGACGAGUGGCGGAUGGGUGAGUAACGCGUAUGCAACCUUCCUCACACCGAGAAAAAGUCGACUGAAAAGUUGAAUAAAGUCUCGUGGUGUGCAUUUCUCGCAUGAGAGAUGUAUGAUAGAAGCAAUUUGGUGUGAGAUGGGCAUGCGUAUCAUUAGCUAGUUGGUAAGGUAACGGCUUACCAAGGCGACGAUGAUUAGGGGGCCUGAGAGGGUGGUCCCCCACACUGGGACUGAGACACGGCCCAGACUCCUACGGGAGGCAGCAGUAGGGAAUAUUGGUCAAUGGGCGGAAGCCUGAACCAGCCAUGCCGCGUGAUGGAUGACGGCCUUAGGGUUGUAAACAUCUUUUCUGCUAGAGGAAUAGAGUUCACGCGUGGACAGACGACUGUAUAGCAGGAAUAAGGAUCGGCUAACUCCGUG